UGGGGAAUAUUGCGCAAUGGGCGAAAGCCUGACGCAGCGACGCCGCGUGAGGGAUGAAGGUUUUCGGAUCGUAAACCUCUGUCAGAAGGGAAGAAACCGCACUGUGCUAAUCAGCAGUGCCUUGACGGUACCUUCAAAGGAAGCACCGGCUAACUCCGUGCCAGCAGCCGCGGUAAUACGGAGGGUGCGAGCGUUAAUCGGAAUUACUGGGCGUAAAGCGCACGUAGGCUGCUUUGUAAGUCAGGGGUGAAAUCCCACGGCUCAACCGUGGAACUGCCUUUGAUACUGCUUAGCUUGAAUCCGGGAGAGGGUGGCGGAAUUCCAGGUGUAGGAGUGAAAUCCGUAGAUAUCUGGAGGAACAUCAGUGGCGAAGGCGGCCACCUGGACCGGUAUUGACGCUGAGGUGCGAAAGCGUGGGGAGCAAACAGG
rnacentral:rRNA from 1 species